UUAAGUUAUUAAGGGCGCACGGUGGAUGCCUUGGCACUAGAAGCCGAUGAAGGACGUUACUAACGACGAUAUGCUUUGGGGAGCUGUAAGUAAGCUUUGAUCCAGAGAUUUCCGAAUGGGGAAACCCAGCAUGAGUUAUGUCAUGUUAUCGAUAUGUGAAUACAUAGCAUAUCAGAAGGCACACCCGGAGAACUGAAACAUCUUAGUACCCGGAGGAAGAGAAAGAAAAUUCGAUUCCCUUAGUAGCGGCGAGCGAAACGGGAAGAGCCCAAACCAACAAGCUUGCUUGUUGGGGUUGUAGGACACUCUAUACGGAGUUACAAAGGACGACAUUAGACGAAUCAUCUGGAAAGAUGAAUCAAAGAAGGUAAUAAUCCUGUAGUCGAAAAUGUUGUCUCUCUUGAGUGGAUCCUGAGUACGACGGAGCACGUGAAAUUCCGUCGGAAUCUGGGAGGACCAUCUCCUAAGGCUAAAUACUCUCUAGUGACCGAUAGUGAACCAGUACCGUGAGGGAAAGGUGAAAAGCACCCCGGAAGGGGAGUGAAAUAGAACCUGAAACCGUGUGCUUACAAGUAGUCAGAGCCCGUUAAUGGGUGAUGGCGUGCCUUUUGUAGAAUGAACCGGCGAGUUACGAUUUGAUGCAAGGUUAAGCAGUAAAUGUGGAGCCGUAGCGAAAGCGAGUCUGAAUAGGGCGUUUAGUAUUUGGUCGUAGACCCGAAACCAGGUGAUCUACCCUUGGUCAGGUUGAAGUUCAGGUAACACUGAAUGGAGGACCGAACCGACUUACGUUGAAAAGUGAGCGGAUGAACUGAGGGUAGCGGAGAAAUUCCAAUCGAACCUGGAGAUAGCUGGUUCUCUCCGAAAUAGCUUUAGGGCUAGCCUCAAGUGAUGAUUAUUGGAGGUAGAGCACUGUUUGGACGAGGGGCCCCUCUCGGGUUACCGAAUUCAGACAAACUCCGAAUGCCAAUUAAUUUAACUUGGGAGUCAGAACAUGGGUGAUAAGGUCCGUGUUCGAAAGGGAAACAGCCCAGACCACCAGCUAAGGUCCCAAAAUAUAUGUUAAGUGGAAAAGGAUGUGGCGUUGCCCAGACAACUAGGAUGUUGGCUUAGAAGCAGCCAUCAUUUAAAGAGUGCGUAAUAGCUCACUAGUCGAGUGACACUGCGCCGAAAAUGUACCGGGGCUAAACAUAUUACCGAAGCUGUGGAUUGUCCUUUGGACAAUGGUAGGAGAGCGUUCUAAGGGCGUUGAAGCAUGAUCGUAAGGACAUGUGGAGCGCUUAGAAGUGAGAAUGCCGGUGUGAGUAGCGAAAGACGGGUGAGAAUCCCGUCCACCGAUUGACUAAGGUUUCCAGAGGAAGGCUCGUCCGCUCUGGGUUAGUCGGGUCCUAAGCUGAGGCCGACAGGCGUAGGCGAUGGAUAACAGGUUGAUAUUCCUGUACCACCUAUAAUCGUUUUAAUCGAUGGGGGGACGCAGUAGGAUAGGCGAAGCGUGCGAUUGGAUUGCACGUCUAAGCAGUAAGGCUGAGUAUUAGGCAAAUCCGGUACUCGUUAAGGCUGAGCUGUGAUGGGGAGAAGACAUUGUGUCUUCGAGUCGUUGAUUUCACACUGCCGAGAAAAGCCUCUAGAUAGAAAAUAGGUGCCCGUACCGCAAACCGACACAGGUAGUCAAGAUGAGAAUUCUAAGGUGAGCGAGCGAACUCUCGUUAAGGAACUCGGCAAAAUGACCCCGUAACUUCGGGAGAAGGGGUGCUCUUUAGGGUUAACGCCCAGAAGAGCCGCAGUGAAUAGGCCCAAGCGACUGUUUAUCAAAAACACAGGUCUCUGCUAAACCGUAAGGUGAUGUAUAGGGGCUGACGCCUGCCCGGUGCUGGAAGGUUAAGAGGAGUGGUUAGCUUCUGCGAAGCUACGAAUCGAAGCCCCAGUAAACGGCGGCCGUAACUAUAACGGUCCUAAGGUAGCGAAAUUCCUUGUCGGGUAAGUUCCGACCCGCACGAAAGGCGUAACGAUUUGGGCACUGUCUCAACGAGAGACUCGGUGAAAUCAUAGUACCUGUGAAGAUGCAGGUUACCCGCGACAGGACGGAAAGACCCCGUGGAGCUUUACUGUAGCCUGAUAUUGAAAUUCGGCACAGCUUGUACAGGAUAGGUAGGAGCCUUUGAAACGUGAGCGCUAGCUUACGUGGAGGCGCUGGUGGGAUACUACCCUAGCUGUGUUGGCUUUCUAACCCGCACCACUUAUCGUGGUGGGAGACAGUGUCAAGCGGGCAGUUUGACUGGGGCGGUCGCCUCCUAAAAGGUAACGGAGGCGCUCAAAGGUUCCCUCAGAAUGGUUGGAAAUCAUUCAUAGAGUGCAAAGGCAUAAGGGAGCUUGACUGCGAGACCUACAAGUCGAGCAGGGUCGAAAGACGGACUUAGUGAUCCGGUGGUUCCGCAUGGAAGGGCCAUCGCUCAACGGAUAAAAGCUACCCCGGGGAUAACAGGCUUAUCUCCCCCAAGAGUUCACAUCGACGGGGAGGUUUGGCACCUCGAUGUCGGCUCAUCGCAUCCUGGGGCUGUAGUCGGUCCCAAGGGUUGGGCUGUUCGCCCAUUAAAGCGGUACGCGAGCUGGGUUCAGAACGUCGUGAGACAGUUCGGUCCCUAUCCGUCGUGGGCGUAGGAAAUUUGAGAGGAGCUGUCCUUAGUACGAGAGGACCGGGAUGGACAUACCUCUGGUGUACCAGUUGUCGUGCCAACGGCAUAGCUGGGUAGCUAUGUGUGGACGGGAUAAGUGCUGAAAGCAUCUAAGCAUGAAGCCCCCCUCAAGAUGAGAUUUCCCAACUUCGGUUAUAAGAUCCCUCAAAGAUGAUGAGGUUAAUAGGUUCGAGGUGGAAGCAUGGUGACAUGUGGAGCUGACGAAUACUAAUCGAUCGAAGACUUAAUCAA
rnacentral:rRNA from 4 species